AGAGGGACAGGAGGGAACACACAGUAACACACAGAGCAGGUGAACAGGGAAACUACAUACUUCAUGAUACAGAUAUCAGCGGGACAGGAGGGAACACACAGCAACACACAGAGCAGGUGAACAGGGAAACUACAUACUUCAUGGCUGUCAGGCUCUCUGGUCACAAAGGAAGGCUGUGCUUCUCUGGUCUCAGCUCUGAAGUCAAACCCCUCACAUCUGAAAGAACUGGAUCUUAGCUAC